rnacentral:rRNA from 1 species
CCGCGGUAUUUUGACCGUGCGAAGGUAGCAUAAUCAAUAGUCUUUUAAUUGAGGACUUGUAUGAAGGGUUGGACGAGAUAUAUACUGUUUUUUAGAUAAAAGUUGAAUUUAACUUUUAAGUGAAAAGGCUUAAAUAUUACAAGAAGACGAUAAGACCCUAUAAAUCUUUAUAUUAGUUUAAAGUUUUAAAAAGUUUAUAGGUUAAUUUGAUUAAAUUUAAAUAAUAUUUUAUUGGGGCGAUAUGAAUAGAUAAUUAUCUAUUUCAAUGAUUUUACAAAAUAUAUUUGAGUAUAAUUUUUAGAUCCCCUUUAAGGAUUUACAGAUUAAGUUACUUUAGGGAUAACAGCGUUAUUUUAUUUGAGAGUUCGUAUCGAAAAUAAAGUUUGCGACCUCGAUGUUGAAUUAAAAUUUCUUUGUGGUGCAGCAGCUAUAAAAGAAAGUCUGUUCGA